GGCCCCCGCCUACAGGACUCGCUCCUGCCAGCCAAGGACUCGAGAAGGAGGGAGUCCCCAGUCCCGGCGGGGCGCCUGGGAUUCGGUUCAGUAUUUAGCACAGUCAGUACCGAAGCAGGGGCAGCCAGGUGGGAGCUGAGCGCCCCAGAGGUGGACCCCAAUCAGCAGCGAGUGGGCAGCUGGGGCCCGGCUCGCCCGCGCCCGCGCCCCGGAGCUCUCCGGCAGUCUCUCUGCACCCCGAAGCUGGGGAGCCGGGGGCGCUCUCCCGGGCCGCAAGCAGGCACAGAAUUUGACGCCUGGAGAGGCAGCUGGUCCUGGCUAGGACUCCUGAUUCUUCACAGAUGGAAACAAUUUCUCCCGGUGAACCUGCCGGAAUUCCCAGUGGACUCGCACUUCAGCUUUGCCCACUGGCGCAUUUAACCAAGGCCGCAUUUACCGCUUUGAGGCAAAUCUGAGUUUCAAAUGGAGCGGGACUUCUGGUUGCAGAAUGAGGUUCAUGAAAUUUUCAGGAAUUAAAGUUAGUCCUGAGGAAAGUUCAUGAAUGGCUAAUGCUGGACUGUGCCUCUCCAGGACAGUGUUGCAUAGAACUGGUUUUAGUAGACCUUCUUGUUUCAUGUGCAAUAACAAGAAAAAAGCUCGAAGGGAAGGAUUUCUACAUUUCACUAUAAAAUAUUUACUGUGUGCUUGCUUCUUCUUCGCCUUCUGCCAUGAUUGUAACUUUCCUGAGGCCUUCCAGCCAUGUUUCCUAUUCAGCCUACAGAACUGAAGAAAAUGAAGAUAAUAAAACAUGCUGAGAUAAAUCGGAGAAUCUACAUAAAUGGACGGGUGAAGACAAAAAUAUACCAAAAUGGAGUCAAGUAUUAAUAUGUAUGGGAAGUUAGUACAUGGAUCUUCUUUUUGCUCACUAUAUUCUCCCUCCUCCUACUCUGUAUGGACUACUUUUGUAGUGUUUAUACGCUUUGGCUUCAGUCUGCUCUUCAUUUUCUAGUUCCUUAAGGUGGUAAGUUAGAUUAUUGAUUUGUGAUGUUUGUCUUUUUUAAUGUAGGCAUUUGUGAGCUACACAUUUACCUCUGAACACUGCUUUUGCUGUAUUCCGUAAGUUUCUUUAAUGCUAUGUUUUUGUUUACUUUUUUAUCUCUAAAUACCUUCUAAUUUUCCUUGUGGUUUCUUUUCUAGCAUAUUGAUUGUUUCAGAGUGUGUAGUUUAAUUUCUACAUGUUUGUGAACUUUUCGAUUUUCCUUGUUACUGAUGUCUAGUUUCAUCAAGCUAGAACCAUGUUUUAUAUGGUUGCAAUCCUUUUAAACUUACUGAAACUUGUUUUGCAGCCUGACAUAUGGUUUAUCCAGGAGAAUGUUUCAUGUACACUUGUGUAUGUAUUCUGCUAGAAUUAUGUUUUGUGCAUAAAAUAAAGUACAUGGGAUUAUAAAGGAAACUAUGAUAAUAGAAUAGGAAAAUUAUUACAAGGAAAUGUAGUUAUUAAAAUAUUUUAAAAUGUGUGAUAUAGCAAUAUAUGAGCUUUUAAAUUAAAAUUUGAAAUAAGCUACCAUAAUCCCAAAGUAGUAAUGUGCAUAAACAAUAUUUCAAGAUUCCUGUAUAACCUAAGGUGCUAUGAAAAUAUCUAUAAUUUCUGUUGGUGAUAGUCAUAAGUACUACCAAUACUACUGUGGUAUUAUCGGUAUUAACGAAAAUAAAGAUGUCAUUGUUUUCCC
rnacentral:lncRNA from 1 species